AGGGAAAUAAAGGACUCAAGGAUCUGGAUCCAGCUCAGAAGAACUGAGGGCAGUGUUGUUACAGGUCUUGUUGCCCGAAAACCUCUUUUGGGUCUUACAUUUCUGAUGAAGCCUGUUCAGAUCACUUGCACAGCAGCCUGAUCUCAACAUCAAUGGAAAUUCCAGCUGAACUUUGGCCAAGAAGGGACAGAACAAUAUGAGAGACAUGGAUCUUCAUGAAGCUCCUGCUGCAGCGGAGGCUCCACAGUGUUUGCAGCCUUUGCUUUUUAUCACCAGAAGUCCCAGGGGAGGUUCAAGGUAGGAUCCUUGCCAUCUCAGCUCAGCAAUCACAGAAAGCCAAAUAAAUAAAGCAGGAAGUUGGCAAAGCCCUGAUUCAGCAAAGGCACAAGAACAAGUUCAGCAUUAACCUCUGCUUAAGAUGAUUUGGAGCAGAAGAGUUAACCUCAGGGCUGUCCAAAAGGCAGAGCAGGAACCUAAGACCUUGACAGCAGUGCUUUAAAUCUGAGAAGGGGCUUCAGGAUGAGGAAUUUCUUAGACAUGGGAGAAGAAUGGUCCCUGGCAUGAGGACAUUUCUGUUUGUGGCCAGAUGUGGUGGCCUGGCACUGAUGCCCUUAGGAGGGAUGAUAUUUGUGUUGCAAUGUCUGCUAAUGGUGAGUCUGGAGGAGGCUGCUGUGGGGACCCAGCACCAGCUCCUCACUCACAUCCCCUUGCUGGGAUGCUGGGCAGUGGUGAGGAGCUGGAGAACGUGGUGAGGUGUUAGGGCAGCAGCUCAGUGAUGGGCUGCCAGUGCUCACACUGCCCGGCAAGCGCUGCUGGCAUCCACCCCCAGCACCACUGCGUUGGCAGAGCCUCCCUGAUGUGAGAAGGACUGGGGAUGGUUGGCAAGGGUCAAGGUGGAGCAAAAUCCCUCUGCUGGUGAGGGAUGUGGAGAUCUGCCUGCUCUGGGUGAGUGGUUUCACCAGGAGAGAGUAGGGAAAUGAGUGGAGGAUGCCUUCUGCAGGGGUGGCUUUGCAGCCUAAGUGUGUGUGGCAGCCCAGGAGGAGGGAGCAUGAUGCUCUCCAAGCACAAAGUCUCCUUGGACAGACGGCUGCAGGCUCGGGCUGGGUGUUGGUGAGACACAGCUGCCACCAGCCCAGCUCAGCAAGCCCUGUCUCUCCUGAGCUCUUCAUGCUUAUCUGAUCUGCUCCUCUGUAAUGAUGUGGUUGGAAUGAAAUUAUGGAGCUUUAAUGUAGUUACAGCUGCAUCUACCAGGCACAGCUCUUCCUGAUGUACGGCGCUGGAAUUUAAGAUAUGGCCACAGGCUGCAGAUGACUUCUUGUCUCCAAGGCAUGCUGCAGCCUUCCCACGUGUUGCACCAGGCCCUGGCCAGGAAGGCAAACUUAGGAGUCCAGUUCACAUCUGCUGCUGGAUAGCCAUUGAAGGCUAAAGCCAGGGUGGGGGGACCAAGGAGCUUUGGUGACGGCCACUGUGUUGAGUGUGCAAGGCUCUUGAUGCAUGCUGCAGUACCAUGAUGCUGUGGUGGGGCCAGCUGGAGACCACAGCCCCUUGCAUGGACAAACUCCUGCAGCUGGGUCUAGGGACUUCUCUCUUUGCUUUUCAUCUGCAGGAAAAUACCUUCAAAGGUGCAUGGAUGAGGGGCUGGCCUUUAAGACCUACUGAAGAUCUGUGCUGAGGUGGUCUAAAGCUUCAGGGAAACUUUCUUGCUUUGUGACUCCUUUGUUGUGAACUUAAUGGUCACAGAAUUUGCUGGAUCAGCAGUAAGAGUUGAUUAACAACAAACUACUCGGCUUUCUGAAGUCAGACAAAAAUUGGUGGGUUUGCCAUUUCCAGUCUGCCAGAGGUGCAGGCAUGUGCAAACUUCUGGGCUGUUGGCCAGAGGAGCCAACAGCUCAGCUAAAGGGUACCUGUCCUCUGAGUGAGGGCACGUGGUGGGACAUGUCCUCCACAUGCCUGGCAGCCAGGCACAUCCAAAACAUUGCCUGUUCUCCUCAUCAGAUCAGCCACUGGAUGCAGAUUCUUUGAGACAUAACCACGCAGCAGAGAUGAUCUGCAGAGCAAUUACCCCUGCAGACUAAAUGAGUCCCUCUGCCUUGUCCCUGGGCCUCAGCAUAUCUAGGCUCCUAUCCCUGGGGCAGUGUGGUGUGUCCAGAUCUCACAGUGGGCUCCCCCAGGUAACCCCUGUUAGUGGGGGUGACCUUGCCCACCACCCCCAGAGGCUGAGCUUUGCUCACCAGCCCUUUGGGGUGCUGUGCCUGUUGGUGAUGCACACCUACAAUGCCCUCCAGGGAAGGGCUUGUUUUGCCUCCCCACCGCUCGGCUUCAGACCUGCGAAUCUGAGGUGCAUCUGCUUCUAUCUAACCGUGUGCCUGUGUUUAUAGCACUGCUGCUGGGGCUCAUCUUGCAGUAAUUCUCCUUGGAUGCUCUUGCUUUUCUCCUGCAGUCAAUUUUUUUCUUGACUGACACGGGACUGAUAAUGAAUGUGGCUUCAGCACCGAGAGAUCGGCCUGGCUCAGCUCAUUCCACCUCUCCUGGUUUUGAGCAAGAAUGUGAGGACUUGCUGUGUCUCUUUUAGAUUCCAUCAUGAAAGGAAUAAUUGAGAUUGAGAUUCUUAGUCACUCAAUGCAGAAGGUCAGGGAAUUAAUGCUGUGUUACAUCCAGGCCAUUCAUUUACUCUGCCUCCUUGGUUGUUUUGGGUUGGGUUUUUUUUUUCCCUUAACUGUCUGUAGAGGAAAACAAAUGUGCCACAGAGAAGGUAACACAUCUUCAAUGCUGCACACACCCCCAGCCUCUGGUAAUACACACUGUUUGUCUUUAUUUUGGGGGUGUUCCAGGGUAGUUUUAUCAUCAUAAUUGAUUAAUGGCGACAGGGGGAAAAAAAAAAUCCAGGAGUAACAGGAAGAAAUGAUUCCAGUGAAUCCAUUGAGUCGGUCCUAGCAUUGAUCUGCUCCUGGGAAUUAUUUAUAGAGAAGAUUCAUAGUUAGUAAUAUUAGUUUGGACUUCUGGAACGGUCUGUCAGAGGAUCUUAAAGGCCUCUGGUAACAGUUAAUCAGACAGACAAAUAAGGUAGACAGCCUCAUCUUAGGAGAGGGAAGGAAAUGGGAUUCCUGGCAUGACCCUGGCGAUGAGUAUUGGUGGCCCGACAAGAGCAUCACCCGCAAGAGAUGGUGGCACUGCCUGGGCUCGUCAGUGUCUUCUUGCACCACAGCCAUAGAAGCAGCACAAGGAUUUUCUGCUGCUGGUGUCUCUUGCACCAGGGCAUGAUGCUGGCCAAAUGCUGGUGGCCUUGCUGGAGAAGGUCAAAGGGAGCAGAGGGCUGCUACAAAGCAAAGUGAGAGGCAGCACAGGGAACAAGGCAGGAUUGGCAGCGGCUGCCAGCCGGAGUAGUGAAAGGAAGGUCCUUGAGAAAAUCCACACUAAACCCUCUGCGAGCCAAAGAAAAGGUGGCUGCAGGAUGGGCACCUGAGCCAGAGCCAGCAGGGACAAACCCAAACCUUUUCUUCCUCUGCCUCCCCUCCUCAUUUUGUUUUUGUUUUUAACUUAAUUGAUCUGUAUCUUGCAAUCCUACCCGCAGGAGAGAUGACACAUCUGAGAAAAGCAGGAGCAUUUCUUUCAAGUGGUCUGCUUGGGUGUUGUGGUUCUUUUUUCAUUCCUGGUGUGUGUAUAUAUAUAGAAUUGCCUGGAAGUAGUAAAUAGAAUUAAACAUUGUAGUUCUGAAAAACAAAA